rnacentral:rRNA from 1 species
AGAACGAACGCUGGCGGCAUGCCUAACACAUGCAAGUCGAACGAGACCUUCGGGUCUAGUGGCGCACGGGUGCGUAACGCGUGGGAAUCUGCCCUUGGGUUCGGAAUAACAGCGAGAAAUUGCUGCUAAUACCGGAUGAUGACGUAAGUCCAAAGAUUUAUCGCCCAAGGAUGAGCCCACGUAGGAUUAGCUUGUUGGUGAGGUAAGAGCUCACCGAAGGCGACGAUCCUUAGCUGGUCUGAGAGGAUGAUCAGCCACACUGGGACUGAGACACGGCCCAGACUCCGUACGGGAGGCAG